UACGGGGGGGGCGAGCGUUGUUCGGAAUUACUGGGCGUAAAGGGCGCGUAGGCGGCCGAUCAAGUCAGAUGUGAAAGUCCUGGGCUUAACCUGGGGACUGCAUUUGAUACUGAUUGGCUUGAAUUCGGGAGAGGAUAGCGGAAUUCCCAGUGUAGAGGUGAAAUUCGUAGAUAUUGGGAAGAACACCGGUGGCGAAGGCGGCUAUCUGGACCGACAUUGACGCUGAUGCGCGAAAGCGUGGGGAGCAAACAGG
rnacentral:rRNA from 1 species